AUACAAUUGGCGCACAAUGGUAAUCAGCUUUAGAUGCAUACAAUUUGCACAUGAUGGCAAUCAGCUUUAGAGGCAUACAAUUGCAUUACCAGGGCAAUCAGCUUUAGAUGAAUACAAUUGGCAUAUCUUGGCAGUUUUAGAGGCAUAAUUUGGCAUAUUAUGGCAGUUUUAGAGGCAUAAUUCUGGGAAAUCAUGGCAGUUUUUGAGCAAUAAUUUUGGUAUAUCAUGGCAGUUUUAGAGGCAAAAACUUGGCAUAUCAUGGCAGUUUUAGAGGCAUCAUUUUGGGUAUCAUGGCAGUUUUAGAGGUAUAAUUUUGGCAUAUCAUGGCAGUUUUAGAGGCAUCAUUUGGGUAUCAUGGCAGUUUUAGAGGCAGAAACUUGGCACAUCAUGGUAAUCUGUUUUAGAGGCAUAUAACUUAUGGAUGUGUGUUUGAAUGUAAGCAUGUUUUUGUAUGGAGUAUGUAUGGUGUUUGAAUGCAGGUGUGCAUUUGUGUGCAGUGUAUACACUUCC